rnacentral:lncRNA from 1 species
CUCGAUAUCCAGUAAUACAUAUAUAUGAUGUAGCUUCAAAGAACGUGUUACAAAACUUAAUACUUCUCAUUCAGUAGAAAGGACUAAUACAAAAAUAUAUACGUAAGAUUGUUUUCUCCGGUUGAACUGUCAAUGUAUAUCUUGUUCACAUGAAGAGAAACAAGAGGAAAGAAAUCAACAUGGAUUGUAGUGCGGUGGAUAGGCUGUUUCAUUCUUAUUAGAGGUCAAUGAUUCCACUCUGGGUAUGAAAAAAAUUCUGUUAGGAGCACUGACACCUUAAUA